GACGCAGAUCGCGCUGAAAGUCCUGCCUCUCCCAUCUCCUCAUUGGUUUAUAGAAGCAGGUACCCACGUGCCAUCUCCUCAUUGGUUAUACUCACGUGGGUGACUGAAAGAGGAACAAGGUCGGUGGCGGUAAUGCACCUAAUUUAUACAAAUUACCAAUCGAAAUAUAAAGUCAAGAGAAGAAAAAGCCUAGAAGGAGGAGAGAUGACUAGAAACGAUUCGGUUGACCAUUUUAUGUGUGGAUUAAUUGUCUGAGUAGAGGACCUUGUGCUUUUCAGAGGACCUGAGCCCUAGGACCAUGCCUCAGGACUGCCUGACAUGAUGACUCCUUGCUGUCCCCAGUCCACCUGGCCAUGCUGCUGCUCCAGUUUUAACUGUUCUGCCUGCGGCAAUGGAACCCUGACCGGUUCACCGGACGUGCUACCUGUCCCAGACCUGCUGUUUUCAACUCUCUAGAGACAGCAGGAGUGGUAGAGAUACUCCCAAUGAUCGGCUAUGAAAAGCCAACUGACAUUUACUCUUGAGGUGCUGACUUGUUGCACCCUCGACAACUACUGUGAUUAUUAUUAUUUGACCAUGCUGGUCAUUUAUGAACAUUUGAACAUCUUGGCCAUGUUCUGUUAUAAUCUCCACCCGGCACAGCCAGAAGAGGACUGCCCCCCCCCCCUCAUAGCCUGGUUCCUCUCUAGGUUUCUUCCUAGGUUUUGGCCUUUCUACGGAGUUUUUCCUAGCCACCGUGCUUCUACACCUGCAUUGCUGGCUGUUCGGGGAUUUAGGCUGGGUUUCUGUACAGCACUUUGAGAUAUCAGCUGAUGUCACUCCCCUCUCAGUGAGCUUGUCCAGGAGUGGGAACAAGAGGUGUUUUACUGAGGAUGGGCCACUAUGAGAUAGCACUGACAAAGGAAAUGUAUGAUGUAUUUUGAUAAGAAGGCCUAAAAAGCAUUCCAGAGGACAUGAGCUAAUGGUUCUGUUCAAUACCGUACCAGGGAGGGACAGUUCUAAGGGGACCAGAUACUGGUCUAUAUAAUGAACCCUGUUGACAUAGCAGUUACUGUCUGCUGUGUUUUAUGGAUAUCUGUCAUAUAAAACUUAACCUUUGUGAACUGUUACUAAGAUCUGUGGUUUGUCAAUGUACGUUGAAGGGGGUGUAUCUUUGCUAUAAAAUAUCUCUGUAGCCAUUGUGUAAUCACCUUCCUGGUUCAUUUGAGAGAGUGCAUUAUUGAAGGUCAAAGAGGCUUUUGCAAAAGUAUCUUAAGUAUUAAAGAUGUAGUUAAAUCGGACUGGUGUGUUUAACUCUCCUCAUUUGGUAAUGCAGAAAUUAGCCACCACAGAGCUCAACUGUGAAUGGUCCUGGCGCACCAAAAAAAAGAGUAAAGGGAAUCCAAUUUGGAUUUAGCGUCACUCCUAUCAAAUCACAUUGAGGGCAUAUGUCAUUGACAGAAACAAACUGAAUCGUUUCAUCUCGUGGUGUUGUUGGUGGUGUUGUUGUCAUCCAGUGGCUAGCUAGCUAAAAUUGGCCCUUUCCUAAAUUAGCCAUGGAUGGAGAUAGGGAUUUGGACAUGUUUUACUUAAUUCUCCGUACUGGCCAAUGAUUGUAAUGGCAAUGUAGAAGUUUAAUAUUAAUUGUAACUAGUUUAAGGUUAAGGUUAUGGUUAACUACCUAAUGUUGCCCAUGAAAGGAAGUUAGGCAGGCGAGCAAGUAUUUUAGUCAGGUAGCUUAGGACAACAGAAACGAAAAGCAUGUACUGUAUCAUGACAGAGUCAUAGACCGUUUAGGCAACAUAAACACAGAAAUCAGUACCAUGGACAGCCACAUCAUAUUUAGCUCACGUUGAUUGGACAAAAUAGUUUUUUAGAUCUUUUAGUUGUCACUAUAUUGGACUAAACAUAGGUGAUUAUGUUGAAGUUGAAAUGGUGCUGGAAUAGUGGAGGCAGCUCCUGUUUUAUUUGCGACUUGCGGUAACUCUCCAUGGUUCUAAAUCAAUAGUUAUUUAGUAGUUCGAAAAUGUCAAAAACAUUACCUUGCUUGACCAUGCUGACGGUCAGGUAACUGUUUGUUACAUGCAAUAUGUGUCAAGGCAUAUGAACUAACAGGUUAUAGAGCAAACAACGCAGUUAUCACAACACAUAGGUUGUAAUAUGGCUUUUUACUUCUUCUGGAUUGGCUUCUCUGGGGAUUUUACCCAAGCACCGCUACUGACAGGCAUUCUUCCAGCAGACAACGCUCUGCCUGGUGUAGCUACUUUUCUCCGUGUAGCCAGCCUACUUCUUUCCAGUAAAACGCAAGAAUAACUUUAAUCAAAACAUUAGCAAAUGUAGGUGGCUAAUAUGUAGGUGGCUACCAUUUACUUGUGUAGCUGCCAGCCAAAUAGUGUUGCACUUCUGUUGUCAUCUGAUAACAAUGAAGCUAUUUUCUGCUGAAUAUGUUGCACUAAUGUAUUUUCUGUGAAGGAAACUAUAGUUGCAUGUCCCUGAUCAAUGGAUUAAACCAAAAAAACACUGUUCACUUUCAAUAUAAAACGUGACCCCUGUCAGUACACAACUGGACUCACCUACAAACUGUCACGUCCUGACCAUGGUAAGCUGUUAUUUUCUAUGGUAGAGUAGGUCAGGGCGUGACGGGGGGUUUUCUAGUUUAGUUUUUUCUAUGUUGUUAUGUUCUAGUUUUGUAUUUCUAUGUUGGGUUGUUCUAGUUUUUGUAUUUCUAUGUUGGGCUUUGUUUGAGAUGAUCUCCAAUUAGAGGCAGCUGGUCAUCGUUGUCUCUAAUUGGAGGUCAUAUGUUUUUGGGGGGGGCACACGGGGAGAUUGGCAGAGUCAGGGUGGAGACCUGAGCCAAUUCCCCGUGCUUACCGUGGGGAGCAAGUGAAGAAGCAAGCACCGUGUUAUGCGGUGAUGAUUCACAGUCCGGUGUGAUCUGUGCCCGCGCCCCGCAUUUGCCGAGCUAGGUUGAGCAUUCAGCCAGGAAGGGUGGUGCCAGCUCAGCGCUCCUGGUCUCCAGUUCGCCUUCUCGGUCCAGGAUAUCCUGCUCUGGCGCUGCGCACUGUGUCACCAGUGCGUAUUCACAGCCCAGUGCGUCCUGUGCCCGCACCCCGCGUUUGCCGGGCGAAAGUAAGCAUCCAGCCAGGACGGGUUGUGCCAGCUCUACGCUCGAGACCUCCAGUGCGCCUCCACUGUCCAGUAUAUCCUGUGCCUGCCCCACGUACCCGGCCUCCAGUGAGUCUAUCCAGCCUGGUACGCCCUGUUCCUGCUCCCCGCACUUGCCCUGAGGUGCGUGUUACCAGUCUGGCGCCACCUAUGCCAGCCCCAUGCAUCAGGCCUCCAGUGCACCUGCCCAGUCCGGGGUGUCGUGUUCCUGCUCCCCGCACUCGCCAUGAGAUGCGUGUUACUAGUCUGGCGCCACCUAUGCCAGCCCCACGCAUCAGGCCUCCAGUGCGCAUUCCCAGUCCAGAGCUUCCGGCGACAGUUCCCAGUCCGGAGCUUCCGGCGACAUUCUACAGUCCGGAGCCUCCUGAGACGGCCCGCAGUCCGGAGCCUCCUGAGACGGCCCGCAGUCCGGAGCCUCCUGAGACGGCCCGCAGUCCGGAGCCUCCUGAGAUGGCCCGCAGUCUGGAGCCUCCGGCGAUGUCCCGCAGGCGGCGGUCUGCAGUCUAGAACCUCCGACGGCAGUCUACAGUCUAGAACCUCCGGUGAUGAUCCACGGUCCG
rnacentral:lncRNA from 1 species